rnacentral:tRNA from 1 species
ACCUGGCUGGCUCAGUUGGGAGAGUAUGUGACUCUUGAUCUCUGGGUUGUGAGUUUGAGUCCCAUGCUGGGUG